rnacentral:rRNA from 1 species
UUCAAAGUUGGGCCGUGGAGCGGCGGGAAGACGAGUGGUGCAAGUGUUGCUCGGGGUAUCGGGGGAUAAAGGGUGGGUAGGAUGGUGUUUGGGGCAGGGUGUAAAGUUUUCGGCGCAACCGGAAGAUUGCCUUUGGUACUGGCGAGCUGGGGUGCGUGAGGGGGGGCCGGAACGAGUGGAGUAGCGGUGAAAUGCGUAGAUAUCACUCGGAAGGCCAACGGCGAAGGCAGGUCACUGGUGCGCAACUGACGCUGAGGCACGAAAGCGUGGGGAGCAAACAGGAUUAGAUACCCGGGUAGUC